CCUACGGGGGGCAGCAGUGGGGAAUAUUGGGCAAUGGGCGCAAGCCUGACCCAGCAAUGCCGCGUGAAGGAAGAAGGCUUUCGGGUUGUAAACUUCUUUGACAGGGGAAGAGCAGAAGACGGUACCCCUUGAAUAAGCCACGGCUAACUACGUGCCAGCAGCCGCGGUAAUACGUAGGUGGCAAGCGUUGUCCGGAUUUACUGGGUGUAAAGGGCGUGCAGCCGGAGAGACAAGUCAGAUGUGAAAUCCACGGGCUCAACCCGUGAACUGCAUUUGAAACUGUUUCCCUUGAGUGUCGGAGAGGUAAUCGGAAUUCCUUGUGUAGCGGUGAAAUGCGUAGAUAUAAGGAAGAACACCAGUGGCGAAGGCGGAUUACUGGACGAUAACUGACGGUGAGGCGCGAAAGCGUGGGGAGCAAACAGGAUUAGAUACCCCAGUAGUC
rnacentral:rRNA from 1 species